UACAUAGGGUGCGAGCGUUAAUCGGAAUUACUGGGCGUAAAGCGUGCGUAGACGGUUUUGUAAGUCGGAUGUGAAAUCCCCGGGCUCAACCUGGGAAUUGCAUUCGAGACUGCAAGGCUUGGGUGCGGAAGAGGGAAGCGGAAUUUCCGGUGUAGCGGUGAAAUGCGUAGAUAUCGGAAGGAACAUCAGUGGCGAAAGCGGCUUCCUGGUCCAGCACCGACGUUCAGGCACGAAAGCGUGGGGAGCAAACAGG
rnacentral:rRNA from 1 species